GGUCCUCCUCCUGUUAUCUGUGAAGAGCGCCGGGCCGGAUCUCGGAGUUUCACAGCGGACUUGCCAGAGAUAGUGUUGAGAGAGAGAGAGAGAGACAGAGAAACAGAGAGAGAGAUUGAGAGACUGAUUCACGUGGACAUAGACGCAGAAACAAACCGGCGAGGCUCUCCAGGAGGCCCGGGGGCCCGCUCUGUCUAUCGCUCCACACCCCCGGCUGCACC